rnacentral:tRNA from 1 species
GGGCCGUUAGCUCAGCUGGUAGAGCACCACAUUUGCAAUGUGGGGGUCAGCGGUUCGAAUCCGCUACGGUCCACCA